rnacentral:rRNA from 1 species
CCUACGGGUGGCAGCAGUGAGGAAUAUUGGUCAAUGGGCGGGAGCCUGAACCAGCCAAGUCGCGUGAGGGAAGACGGUCCUACGGAUUGUAAACCUCUUUUGCCGGGGAGCAACGGGGUCCUUGCGAGGGCCCGAUGAGAGUACCCGGAGACAAAGCCUCGGCUAACUCCGUGCCAGCAGCCGCGGUACUACGGAGGAUGCGAGCGUUAUCCGGAUUUAUUGGGGUUAAAGGGUGCGUAGGCGGUUCGAGAAGUGAGAGGUGAAAUCCCGGGGCUCAACUCCGGCACUGCCUCUGAUACUGUCGGGCUAGAGUGUAGUUGCGGUAGGCGGAAUGUAUGGUGUAGCGGUGAAAGGCAUAGAGAUCAUACAGAAAACCGAUUGCGAAGGCAGCUUACCAAACUACGACUGACGUUGAGGCACGAAAGCGUGGGGAGCAAACAGGAUUAGAUACCCGGGUAGUC